rnacentral:rRNA from 1 species
GAUGAACGCUGGCGGCGUGCUUAACACAUGCAAGUCGAACGAAGCACUUCAUAAAGCUUGCUUUAGGAAGUGACUUAGUGGCGGACGGGUGAGUAACGCGUGGGUAACCUGCCUUACACAGGGGGAUAACAGUUAGAAAUGACUGCUAAUACCGCAUAAAACAGCAGAGUCGCAUGACUCAACUGUCAAAGAUUUAUCGGUGUAAGAUGGACCCGCGUCUGAUUAGCUUGUUGGUGGGGUAACGGCCUACCAAGGCGACGAUCAGUAGCCGGCCUGAGAGGGUGAACGGCCACAUUGGGACUGAGACACGGCCCAAACUCCUACGGGAGGCAGCAGUGGGGAAUAUUGGACAAUGGGCGAAAGCCUGAUCCAGCGACGCCGCGUGAGCGAUGAAGUAUUUCGGUAUGUAAAGCUCUAUCAGCAGGGAAGAAAACGACGGUACCUGACUAAGAAGCCCCGGCUA